rnacentral:misc_RNA from 1 species
GAUGAAGAACGCAGCGAAAUGCGAUAAGUAGUGUGAAUUGCAGAAUUCAGUGAAUCAUCGAAUCUUUGAACGCACAUUGCGCCCGCCAGCAUUCUGGCGGGCAUGCCUGUUCGAGCGUCAUUUCAACCCUCGACCUCCCCUUGGGGAGGUCGGCGUUGGGGACCGGCAGCACACCGCCGGCCCUGAAAUGGAGUGGCGGCCCGUCCGCGGCGACCUCUGCGUAGUAAUACAGCUCGCACCGGAACCCCGACGCGGCCACGCCGUAAAACACCCAACUUCUGAACGUUGACCUCGAAUCAGGUAGGACUACCCGCUGAACUUAAGCAUAUCAAUAAGCGGAGGA